rnacentral:rRNA from 2 species
CCUUGAAUUAGAGUCUGACGGAGCACGCCGCGUGAGUGAUGAAGGCUUUCGGGUCGUAAAACUCUGUUGUUAGGGAAGAACAAGUACAAGAGUAACUGCUUGUACCUUGACGGUACCUAACCAGAAAGCCACGGCUAACUACGUGCCAGCAGCCGCGGUAAUACGUAGGUGGCAAGCGUUAUCCGGAAUUAUUGGGCGUAAAGCGCGCGCAGGCGGUUUCUUAAGUCUGAUGUGAAAGCCCACGGCUCAACCGUGGAGGGUCAUUGGAAACUGGGGAACUUGAGUGCAGAAGAGAAAAGCGGAAUUCCACGUGUAGCGGUGAAAUGCGUAGAGAUGUGGAGGAACACCAGUGGCGAAGGCGGCUUUUUGGUCUGUAACUGACGCUGAGGCGCGAAAGCGUGGGGAGCAAACAGGAUUAGAUACCCUGGUAGUCCACGCCGUAAACGAUGAGUGCUAAGUGUUAGAGGGUUUCCGCCCUUUAGUGCUGCAGCUAACGCAUUAAGCACUC